rnacentral:rRNA from 1 species
UUCCGGUUGAUCCCGCCGGAGGCUACCGCUAUUGGAGUUCGAUUAAGCCAUGCGAGUCGCGAGUCUUAGGGACUCGGCGUACCGCUCAGUAACACGUGGGUAACCUGCCCUAUGCUGGGGGAUAACCUCGGGAAACUGAGAAUAAUACCCCAUAGUUCACCACGCCUGGAACGGUGGGUGGACCAAAGCUCCGGCGGCAUAGGAUGGGCCUGCGGCGUAUCAGGUUGUAGGGGGUGUAAUGUACCCUCUAGCCCUCUACGCGUACGGGUGUUGAGAGACAUCGCCCGGAGAUGGAUUCUGAGACACGAAUCCAGACCCUACGGGGUGCAGCAGGCGCGAAAACUUGGCAAUGCGAGAAAUCGUGACCAGGGAACUCCAAGUGCAUCGGGUAAGACCGAUGCUUUUCUUGACUCUUCAAAGGUCUUGGAAUAAGGGGUGGGUAAGGACGGUGCCAGCCGCCGCGGUAAUACCGGCGCCCCAAGUGGUAGUCGCUUUUAUUGGGCCUAAAACGUCCGUAGCCGGUCUGGUACAUUCGUGGGUAAAUCAACCAGCUCAACUGGUUGAAUUCUGCGAGCACGGCCAGACUUGGGACCGGGAGAGGUGUGGGGUACUCUCAGGGUAGGGGUAAAAUCCUGUCAUCCUGAGGGGACCACCUGUUGCGAAGGCGCCACACUAGAACGGAUCCGACGGUCAGGGACGAAGCCUAGGGGCACGAACCGGAUUAGAUACCCGGGUAGUCCUAGGUGUAAACGCUGUGGACUUGAUGUUGGGGGCGCUCCGAGCGCACUCAGUGUCGAAGCGAAGGUGAUAAGUCCACUGCCUGGGGAGUACGGUCGCAAGGCUGAAACUUAAAGGAAUUGGCGGGGGAGCACCGCAACCUGAGGAUUGUGCGGUUUAAUUGGAGUCAACGCCGG